rnacentral:ncRNA from 1 species
UACAUUUGCAGCCUUGAAAGAAAAUCUUUCAAAUGCAUAAUAAUCAUUUAAAUAAUAUUGGAAUG